GCAUAUCAAUAGCGGAGGAAAAGAACCAACCGGGAUUGCCUCAGUAACGGCGAGUGAAGCGGCAAGAGCUCAAAUUUGAAAGCUGGCUCCUUCGGAGUCCGCAUUGUAAUUUGCAGAGGAUGCUUUGGGUGCGGCCCCCGUCUAAGUGCCCUGGAACGGGCCGUCAGAGAGGGUGAGAAUCCCGUCUUGGGCGGGGUGUCCGUGCCCGUGUAAAGCUCCUUCGACGAGUCGAGUUGUUUGGGAAUGCAGCUCUAAAUGGGUGGUAAAUUUCAUCUAAAGCUAAAUACUGGCCGGAGACCGAUAGCGCACAAGUAGAGUGAUCGAAAGAUGAAAAGCACUUUGAAAAGAGAGUUAAACAGCACGUGAAAUUGUUGAAAGGGAAGCGCUUGCGACCAGACUCGCCCGCGGGGUUCAGCCGGCAUUCGUGCCGGUGUACUUCCCCGUGGGCGGGCCAGCGUCGGUUUGGGCGGCCGGUCAAAGGCCCCUGGAAUGUAGUACCCUCCGGGGUACCUUAUAGCCAGGGGUGCAAUGCGGCCAGCCUGGACCGAGGAACGCGCUUCGGCACGGACGCUGGCAUAAUGGUCGUAAACGACCCGUCUUGAAACACGGACCAAGGAGUCUAACAUCUACGCGAGUGUUCGGGUGUCAAACCCGUGCGCGCAGUGAAAGCGAACGGAGGUGGGAGCCCCCUCGCGGGGCGCACCAUCGACCGAUCCUGAUGUCUUCGGAUGGAUUUGAGUAAGAGCGUAAAUGUGGGGACCCGAAAGAUGGUGAACUAUGCCUGAAUAGGGCGAAGCCAGAGGAAACUCUGGUGGAGGCUCGCAGCGGUUCUGACGUGCAAAUCGAUCGUCAAAUUUGGGUAUAGGGGCGAAAGACUAAUCGAACCAUCUAGUAGCUGUUCCUGC
rnacentral:rRNA from 1 species